CGAGGCAGUCACCCCAAAGGGUGAGCGACUUUGGGGGAGUUGGUGCCUCGCCCCCAACCCCAGGCCUUCGCGGGGUCAUGGGGGCCCCCCUUUCUGGGCCAGGCGUUGUGCAAGGAGGGACCCUGCUGCUGCUCGGCUUUUUGGGGAUAGUGUCUGGGCUCAGCCUGGAGCCUGUCUACUGGAACUCGGCGAAUAAGAGGUUCCAGGCAGAGGGAGGUUAUGUGCUCUACCCUCAGAUCGGGGACCGGCUGGACCUGCUCUGCCCCCGGGCCCGGCCUCCCGGCCCCCACUCCUCUCCCAAUUAUGAGUUCUACAAGCUCUACCUGGUAGGGGGUGCCCAGGGCCGGCGUUGUGAAGCACCCCCUGCCCCAAACCUCCUCCUCACUUGUGACCGGCCAGACCUGGAUCUCCGCUUCACCAUCAAGUUCCAGGAGUACAGCCCCAACCUCUGGGGCCAUGAGUUCCGCUCACACCACGAUUACUACAUAAUUGCUACGUCGGACGGGACCCGGGAAGGCCUGGAGAGCUUGCAGGGCGGCGUGUGCCUGACCAGGGGCAUGAAGGUUCUUCUUAGAGUGGGACAAAGUCCCCGAGGAGGGGCCGCCCCCCGAAAACCCGUGUCCGAAAUGCCUAUGGAGAGAGACCGAGGGGCAGUCCACAGCCUGGAACCCGGGAAGGAGAACGUGCCAGGUGACCCCACCAGCAAUGCAACCUCCCGGGGUGCUGAAGGCCCCCUGCCCCCUCCCAGCAUGCCCGCAGUGGCCGGGGCAGCGGGGGGGCUGGCGCUGCUCUUGCUGGGCGUGGCAGGGGCUGGGGGUGCCAUGUGCUGGCGGAGACGGCGGGCCAAGCCUUCGGAGAGUCGCCACCCUGGUCCUGGCUCCUUUGGGAGGGGAGGGUCUCUGGGCCUGGGGGGCACGGGGGGCAUGGGACCUCGGGAGGCAGAGCCCGGGGAGCUAGGGAUAGCUCUGCGGGGCGGAGGGGCCACGGAUCCCCCCUUUUGUCCCCACUAUGAGAAGGUGAGUGGCGACUAUGGGCAUCCAGUGUACAUCGUGCAGGAUGGGCCCCCCCAGAGCCCUCCAAACAUCUACUACAAGGUAUGAGGGUGCCUCCCCUCCAGCUCUCCUGGAUCCAGCCCUUUUUGAGGUGCUCCCUCCAAUUUCAUUCAUGGUUUGAGGGAUGCCUCCAGCAUUUCCUUGGCCCCUCCACCCCUCCACCUCCUUUGUUUCUCCUGGCUAUGCCCCCGAUCUCCACUUCUAGGAUACCUUAAGACUUCCACUGAGUCACCUCCUGCCUUUCCAUUUGGGCACGUGCACCCCUGUCUGUCUUCAUUCCUGGGUCCUAUUCCUUUGGGGAAGGGGCAGAGGCUCAGCCUCCUCUUCUGACUGUGACCCAGGUACCCUUGUCCCCCUCACCCAGAGAGCUGGGGGUGGGAGCAGCCUGUUUUUUGGUUGGCAUCUCUUCCUUUCUGCCUCUCACUGUUUUUCUCUUCUUUUCUCCUCUCUCUCUCUUUCUCUCUCGUAUUCUUUCUCUUUCUUCCGUCUCUAGGUCUGUUCUUCUUUUCUAGCACCCCCUCCCUACAUCUCCUUUCACCCUCUUGCCUUCUUAUGCUGCGCCUCUCCCAUCUCCUGGGUGGGGUCGUCAAAGCCUUUCUCCCCUCAGCUCUUGGUCCCUCUUCUGAACUCUCUUCCCAACCACUCCCCUCAGUCUGCCAAAAAACAGGGGGCCUUGUGGGAAAGGCUCUUGGCACUCCAUCGCAGUGCCAGGCAUGGGCAGCAGGGCCCCCUUCUCUUCACACUUGCUCCAGCCAUUGGGGUGGUUGGGUCACGACAGCUGCUGUGAGAAGAAGCGUCCCGUUUUGCCCAGGAGUGGCCAGUGGCAAGAUAGGAACCGGUCGGGACAUAUAUGGACUCGGCGUGAUGCUGAGUGGACCCCUUGGGACAGGAAGUGACUUGCUCCAGACAAGAAGCGACCAGGCCUGGACAGAAAUGGCCUGGGAAGUGGCAGCAGCAGUGCAGCAGCAACUGGAAGUGCCUUCAUCCAGGACAGGAAGUCGCACUUCUGAAAUUGGAAGUGGAGGAAGCUGGAACUUACUGACUGUAAGAAGAUAGAGGACCGAGGAGGACUUUCCUAGCAUUCAGUGGCACUUCCCCGGAUCUCCCUUCCCUUGUGUUCUGUGCUGCUUUUAGGACAGCUAAGAUGACUGCCAUUCUGCUGUGGCAGGCCCAGUUUGUCUUGUGCUUCCCUUCCCAUAGCCCAGUAUAAUCUCUGUUUAUCAGCAGGACUACCCCAGAACCCACGUGCCUCCCCUAGUAACCCAGAUGGCUGUCUCGUUCGUCAGAUCCUCCAUUUCCUACCCCCUUCACUCUCAACACAGCUCCCUUCUUAGUGACCAAAAUGGCAGCCUACUGACUGGCCUAGCUGACAGCGGGACUUAGCAACUGCUGCUGUUUCCAUAGUGACCAGCUUAUACCUCUUCCUGCUCUUUAGUGCACAAUUGGGUGUUGGCCUCACUUCCCUUCCAGCUCAGAUUCUUUAGAUCAGAGCCACCCUUGGGCACCAGUUGGCCACCUCAGUCACCAGCCAAGAUGGUUGCUUUGUCCACCAGAGGCUAAGUCAUCUCUCUGGUGCUGCAGUUCCCAGCUCCUUCCUGAUUUUUCUAAUCCCUCCUUCUGGGGAUCAGGAAGUUAAUAUUGCCAUGGGGGAGGUGGCGGGGUAUGACUGUCACCUCAAUAGUUUUACUGUACAAGGGAAAUUUGAACA